rnacentral:rRNA from 1 species
UACGUAGGGUGCGAGCGUUGUCCGGAAUUAUUGGGCGUAAAGAGCUUGUAGGCGGUCUGUCGCGUCUGCUGUGAAAAUCCGGGGCUCAACCCCGGACUUGCAGUGGGUACGGGCAGACUAGAGUGUGGUAGGGGAGACUGGAAUUCCUGGUGUAGCGGUGAAAUGCGUAGAUAUCAAGAGGAACACCUGAGGUGAAGACGGGUUGCUGGGCCAACACUGACGCUGAGGCGCGAAAGCCAGGGGAGCAAACGGG